rnacentral:rRNA from 1 species
CACGUAGGGCGCAAGCGUUUGUCCGGAAUUAUUGGGCGUAAAGAGCUCGUAGGCGGUCUGUUACGUCUGCUGUGAAAACCCGGGGCUUAACCCUGGGCUUGCAGUGGAUACGGGCAGACUAGAGGCAGGUAGGGGAGAAUGGAAUUCCCGGUGUAGCGGUGAAAUGCGCAGAUAUCGGGAGGAACACCGGUGGCGAAGGCGGUUCUCUGGGCCUGACCUGACGCUGAGGAGCGAAAGCGUGGGGAGCGAACAGG